ACGGACUAUCAAAGGGAGUCUUGGGGUACUGAACGGAACCUUCCCUACACCUGACCUGGGUAGGAUAAAGCUGCCGGUAAAAGGGGCUUUGGAAGAGGCACAACAUGGGCUGUUUUCCACUCGGAAGGAACCACCCCACCCCGCCAGACCAUAUUAUACAGAUGCAGCCAGAUUUGAAGGGUUGCAUCCGGCAUGUGCCCAAACAUCAGAUAGGAUAUUCUAUCAGCCCCGGUGGCGGACUUUCUCCUGCUAGCAAUGGCUGACCUUAGCUCACUAAGUGAGAAAGCCUUGGAGCAUUCGUCCGUCCACCAUGGGACCGUUUGACGUUUGGGCCGCUUACCGGAAGAGGAGGGAAUACAACUCUCAGCUAUGGAUAGGAUUUUAUCAGUCAACUGCCGAUUAAAAUGUUCCAGCUCAUCCAGAUCA